UACGUAGGGGGCAAGCGUUGUCCGGCUUUAUUGGGCGUAAAGGGUUCGCAGGUGGCCUUUUAAGUCAGAUGUGAAAGAUCAAGGCUUAACCUUGGUAAGCAUUUGAAACUGAAAGGCUUGAGUUAAGGAGAGGAAAGUGGAAUUCCUAGUGUAGCGGUGAAAUGCGUAGAUAUUAGGAGGAAUACCAGUGGCGAAGGCGACUUUCUGGACUUAUACUGACACUGAGGAACGAAAGCAUGGGGAGCAAACAGG
rnacentral:rRNA from 1 species